rnacentral:tRNA from 1 species
GGCCCUAUGGUCUAGCGGCCUAGGACGCCGCCCUCUCACGGCGGUAACAGGGGUUCGAAUCCCCUUAGGGCUACCA